rnacentral:rRNA from 1 species
CCGCACGCUUGCGGCGUGCUUCACCCCUGCAAAUCGAACGGAAAGGCCCUGCUUUUGUGGGGUGCUCGAGUGGCGAACGGGUGAGUAACACGUGAGUAACCUGCCCUUGACUUUGGGAUAACUUCAGGAAACUGGGGCUAAUACCGGAUAGGAGCUCCUGCUGCAUGGUGGGGGUUGGAAAGUUUCGGCGGUUGGGGAUGGACUCGCGGCUUAUCAGCUUGUUGGUGGGGUAGUGGCUUACCAAGGCUUUGACGGGUAGCCGGCCUGAGAGGGUGACCGGCCACAUUGGGACUGAGAUACGGCCCAGACUCCUACGGGAGGCAGCAGUGGGGAAUAUUGCACAAUGGGAGGAAGCCUGAUGCAGCAACGCCGCGUGCGGGAUGACGGCCUUCGGGUUGUAAACCGCUUUCGCCUGUGACGAAGCGUGAGUGACGGUAAUGGGUAAAGAAGCACCGGCUAACUACGUG